UGCCUCCCUGGUGGUGCCGUCAGCAUUCACAGCUGCAGCACUGACUCUGGAUCUGUAACGUCCCACCAUGUGUUGAGGACUUGCAACACUUCCUACAACAUGCUUGCAAAGUGCCAAAGACAUCAAACGUAAACGGUUUGUUUUAAAUUUCUUAAUCCAGAAGCAUGAUCCUCAAGCAGCAGGUCAGAAACAAUUAAAAGACUGCUUUUCUCUUGUUUAUUUUGUGGACGUUUAAAGUAUUUCUUUGUUUUCUUUGGAUGCCACAUCAAGCUGCUCUUCCAGGAGUUCAGGGGGAGAUUUUAAACUCUAUCACGAGGAUUAUGAUUAAACUAAACUGCAUUCAUGUCUGCUGAGGAAAGUACAUGUUCCAUUGAAACAAAUUCAUGAAUUGCAAUUCGAUCUGGAAGCCGUCUCUUCAGUUAUCAAUUGAUAAUUAGUGCUUGUGAAUACGUUUCAUGUCGUCAACAUUUACCUUUAAUCACUGUGAGAGGGGACUUUAAUAUUUUGAGUUUACGGGCAAUUUCCACUGACCUAACUGCUUUGUAUCCCUUUUGAUUGGUCAAGAAAAGUAAUUGUUUUGGACACAACUUGAUCCCUAAUUAUUAAUCAUAUUAAAUGACUUGCAACUGGGAUUUGACUUGUGCCUGUAUUUUAACUGUUGACCUUUAAUAUUGAUUUCUUUCAGUUGUGUGAGGUUAGUUUGGAGAGAGAUGACGGGGUGACAAGAAAAGAAGAUGAAUAGGUUGAUGUAGAAAGAGAUCUUGCAUUAACACACUGAGGUGAAAAGGGAAAAAGAUAAUUUCCUCCUUGAUUUUUGUAAUUCUGGUUCAGUGGAAUUUAGUUGGUUUUGUUUUGAACCCCUCUUUUUUCUUUUUAUGAGUGUAAGUGUAUUGCAGGUGUUCAUUUGCAUUACCAUGGAGGACAUGUCACGACAUGUCUGUUAGAGUACACAGUUUGAAAUUGAAAGACAUUUGCUGAAGAACACACCAUGUCUUGCUUUGUUUUGGUCUUGUGACCUGGCCUCAGCAAGCCUUCUACUGUUCUGUAUGAAUACGACACCGACCUUUCCUUUUAGGCAACAUGUAACCAUUUAGAGACAUUUAUAGGUCAUCAAUAUGUAGUUUCCCUGUAGUUGCUCAGCAUCAGUAUCCUUCCGUUCACAACACAAAGACAUGCUGUAGAGCCUCAGUGACAUGCAUCAUUACAGUGAUGUAUGUGCAUUUAGAUUGCUCUUUUCUACUCAGGAUUAACUGUUAAUUAUUCACAUUAUUGCAGUUGUUGCAGGUGAUGAAUCUUUUAAGGGGAUAUUAUCGUAUGGUAGGUUUUGUUGUGUAAAUGUCAGGUGACGCAUGCUGGUGUGAUUAGUUUAGUUAUUAAUCAGUGAAUUAGUGCAGUUGGGGAUCUGAUGAGCUCAUUUAGAACGAAAGUAUGACCUCUUUACAAAGCUGUCUUGUUGUUGGGUUUUGUAUUUGUUUUGGUGGGAUGACAGGAAGCCAGCAGGGUUGUUUCUAUACCUUUUGCAACAACUACCUUAUUAGACCUUACUUACAGAGUACAAACAAUAGAAAUGGUUUUCUAUAAAAUUCCCAGUGGGAACACAUUGUGCUUUGGAUACAAAAUAUAAAAUCUAGAUGAAACACAUCCUGAACACAAUUUGUGAAAUUUCCUGUAUUGUUUACAUAGAAAUAGUUGCAUGCAUGCAUCGUAGUUUCCCUUUAAAACUCCCCACUCAGAAAGUCUGUACAGCCUUAUUUAAAGAACCCUCUUUGUCUGUGUCCAGCUGAGGUGAAGAAGUGGAGGAAGUCUUUCAGCCACGUGAUGAGCAGUCAAACGGGUCGUACGUUCUUCAACAACUUCCUGAGGUCAACGUUCAGCGAGGAGAACAUGGACUUCUGGGUCGCCUGCGAAGACUACAAGAAAUCUGAAUCCUCCAAAGCUGGCGAGCAGAGCCAAGCAGCUCUACACGUUGACAUUGUUUCAAAGCCUGAAACACACUUCAAAGGCAUUAUUGCAAACCUUAUCAACCCUAACCCUAUUGCAAACCUUAUUAAUGCACCCGCACAUUCUCCUUCAAUGAAGCGAGUACUUGAAGCUGAGUGUGACUGCGAAGCUAUGAAUAUGCUCACUCACAACACCACUACAGGCCUAUUAACAACCACUCAGGCACUCAGGAAAUAUGUCGCACUACUCAGUUCAGUCAUUUGGGUUUACUAUUAAUGAAAAUAAAAUGGAAAAUAAGGCUCAGAAAAUGGAUAUGAAAGGGCAUUCUGUUCCGCUUCCCACCCAAGCUUGUCCUUUGCCAUAUGACAAUGUUUUUCAGAUUUUUACCUCAAUUAUUUCAGUUAUGACACUGGUUAAAUGGUAAUUUUAUGAUGUUUUCUUCCAUUAAACAUUACUUUUACUUUUAAAAUGUAUUAAUUGUGUCCUUAAUGCUGCUUUACCGAGAAGGCUAACUUCUGCCGUCUUUUUCAAGGCAUGUGCUUUGUGCAAGUCUGUGCUCCUGAAACCCAGCCUUUCCUCUCAUUCUGUAAAGUCUUUAAGGUAAACUUGAACCAGAGAUGAAACCAGGUGGAACGCCUGACCUACUUGCUUCAACGACGCUCAGGAGAUUUACACCUUGAUGGAAAGAGACUCCAACAGGAACUUCCUCCAAACACUUUUGCUGCUUAAACCUAAUCAAGUACUUUGUUGCUUUUUUACAAAUUCGUACUCAUUUUAAACCAAACCUAAUAUUUUUGUAACGUUUUAGGUUUUGUUUCAAUUUACAACGUAAACCAUGUGGUUCAAACUGUUUAAAACUGUGACUGUCAAAACAACUGUGACUUAAUUGUAUGGGAGCAUUGAUUUUGUCGCCACCAUUUGGCAUUCCUGCUUUCACCAUCAGCUGUCAAGUGUUUUCACAAAUCACAAAGACGAGAUAGUAACUGAUUCAACGUAUGAUAUUAAUACAGAUAAUGUGAAAGUGUUUGCUAA